rnacentral:rRNA from 1 species
AUAGCUGGUUCUCCCCGAAAUAGCUUUAGGGCUAGCGUCGAGGUAAGUUGCGUGAAGGUAGAGCACUGAAUAUGUGAUGGCCCCAUCUCGGGGUACUGAGCAUAAUCAAACUGCGAAUGUCACGCCAACAUGCUCGGCAGUCAGACAGCGGGUGAUAAGGUCCGUUGUCAAGAGGGAAACAGCCCAGACCAUCAGCUAAGGUCCCAAAAUGUAUGCUAAGUGGAAAAGGAUGUGGAGAUGUACAGACAACUAGGAGGUUGGCUCAGAAGCAGCCAUCCUUUAAAGAGUGCGUAACAGCUCACUAGUCGAAUGACUCUGCGCCGAUAAUUUACCGGGGCUAAGCAUACUACCGAAGCUAUGGAUCCCAAGGGAUGGUAGGGGAGCGUUCCAUGAACGGAGAAGUACGACCGAAAGGACGUGUGGAGAUCAUGGAAGAGAGAAUGCCGGUGUGAGUAGCGGAACGUGGGUGAGAAUCCCACGCACCGAAAACCCAAGGUUUCCAGAGGAAGGUUCGUCCGCUCUGGGUAAGUCGGGACCUAAGGCGAGGCCGAAAGGCGUAGUCGAUGGACAACAGGUAGAGAUUCCUGUACCCGUAUAUAUGUGAAGGAAUGACGGAGAGAGGAAGCUGCAGCCAGCGGCUGGAAGAGCUGGUGCAAGCGAGAUAUCGGGAUGGCAGGCAAAUCCACCAUCCGAAACGAGAAGGCGUGAAGCGUACGGAAAGCUACGGCGAGUACGGAAGGCAGUGGAGGAACUUCCAAGAAAAGUUUCUAACGUUAAGUAUAUAUGGCCCGUACCGAAAAUGGACACACAUGGGUGAGGAGAGAAUCCUAAGGUGAGCGAGAGAACUAUAGCUAAGGAACUCUGCAAAAUGACUCCGUAACUUAGGGAGAAGGAGUGCUCAUAGAGAUAUGAGCCGCAGUGAAACGGCCCAAGCGACUGUUUACCAAAAACACAGCUCUCUGCUAAGCCGCAAGGCGAAGUAUAGGGGGUGACGCCUGCCCGGUGCUGGAAGGUUAAGGGGAGGGGUUAACGCAAGUGAAGCCCUGAACUGAAGCCCCAGUAAACGGCGGCCGUAACUAUAACGGUCCUAAGGUAGCGAAAUUCCUUGUCAGGUAAGUUCUGACCCGCACGAAAGGCGUAACGAUUUGGGCGCUGUCUCAGCUGUAGACUCGGUGAAGUCUUAGUACCUGUGAAGAUGCAGGUUACCCGCGACUAGACGGAAAGACCCCAUGGAGCUUCACUGCAGGUUGAUAUUGGGAUUUGAUGCAGCAUGUACAGGAUAGGUAGGAGGCAAAGAGAUGGAUACGCCAGUAUUCAAGGAGCCGCUGUUGGGAUACUACCCCUGUUGUAUUGGAUUUCUAACCGGACGACGUAGAACCGUUGACGGGACAGUGUCAGUCGGGCAGUUUGACUGGGGCGGUCGCCUCCCAAAGAGUAACGGAGGCGCCCAAAGAUACCCUCAGCUUGGAUGGAAACCAAGCGCAGAGUGCAAAGGCAAAAGGGUGUUUGACUGCGAGACCCACAAGUCGAGCAGGGACGAAAGUCGGGCUUAGUGAUCCGGCGGUGCUGAAU